rnacentral:rRNA from 1 species
UACGAAGGGUGCUAGCGUUGCUCGGAAUUACUGGGCGUAAAGCGCACGUAGGCGGCUUUUUAAGUCGGGGGUGAAAUCCUGGAGCUCAACUCCAGAACUGCCUUCGAUACUGGAGAGCUUGAGUCCGGGAGAGGUGAGUGGAACUGCGAGUGUAGAGGUGAAAUUCGUAGAUAUUCGCAAGAACACCAGUGGCGAAGGCGGCUCACUGGCCCGGUACUGACGCUGAGGUGCGAAAGCGUGGGGAGCAAACAGG